rnacentral:rRNA from 1 species
UACGUAGGGCGCAAGCGUUAUCCGGAAUUAUUGGGCGUAAAGAGCUUGUAGGCGGUUUGUCGCGUCUGCUGUGAAAAUCCGGGGCUCAACCCCGGACUUGCAGUGGGUACGGGCAGGCUAGAGUGUGGUAGGGGAGACUGGAAUUCCUGGUGUAGCGGUGGAAUGCGCAGAUACCAGGAGGAACACCGAUGGCGAAGGCAGGUCUCUGGGCCACUACUGACGCUGAGAAGCGAAAGCAUGGGGAGCGAACAGG